GGGCAACCUGCCUGCAAGACGGGGAUAACUCCGGGAAACCGGGGCUAAUACCGGAUAACAUCUUCCUUCGCAUGAAGGAAGGUUGAAAGGCGGCGCAAGCUGCCGCUUGCAGAUGGGCCCGCGGCGCAUUAGCUAGUUGGUGAGGUAACGGCUCACCAAGGCAACGAUGCGUAGCCGACCUGAGAGGGUGAUCGGCCACACUGGGACUGAGACACGGGCCAGACUCCUACGGGAGGCAGCAGUAGGGAAUCUUCCGCAAUGGACGAAAGUCUGACGGAGCAACGCCGCGUGAGUGAUGAAGGUUUUCGGAUCGUAAAACUCUGUUGUUAGGGAAGAACAAGUACCGUUCGAAUAGGGCGGUACCUUGACGGUACCUAACCAGAAAGCCACCGCUAACUACGUGC
rnacentral:rRNA from 1 species